rnacentral:rRNA from 1 species
AACGAACGCUGGCGGCGUGCUUAACACAUGCAAGUCGAGCGCGAAAGGGGGGGCAACCCCCUGAGUAGAGCGGCGCACGGGUGAGUAACGCGUGGGUAACCUACCCCUGGGCGGGGGAUAACUACUCGAAAGGGUGGCUAAUACCGCUUAAGACCACGGGAUUCACGGAUCCUGAGGCCAAAGGUUGCACCGGCUUGCCGGUGCCGCCACCUGGGGAUGGGCCCGCGUCCGAUUAGCUAGUUGGUGAGGUAACGGCCCACCAAGGCUACGAUCGGUAGCUGGUCUGAGAGGAUGGCCAGCCACACUGGAACUGGAACACGGUCCAGACUCCUACGGGAGGCAGCAGUGAGGAAUAUUGCGCAAUGGGGGAAACCCUGACGCAGCAACGCCGCGUGGGUGAAGAAGGCCUUCGGGUCGUAAAGCCCUUUCGGACGGGACGAACGCUUUCCGGUUCACAGCCGGAAAGUCUGACGGUACCGUAGGAAGAAGCACCGGCUAACUCCGUGCCAGCAGCCGCGGUAA